GAUUUCUGGUCGGAUGUGUUUAGCCCGCCAUGGUUUCAUGUGUGAGUGCUGAUACUCAUCUACCUUCCUUCUAGACUAUUCUCCUAUCUCUUCAUUGAGGUAGUGGGGGUACUAGAUCUUUUACUUUGAAAAAAUUAGAGUGUUUCAAGCAGGCUUUUGCUAUGAAUACAUUAGCAUGGAAUAAUAAUUUAGGACUUCGGUUUUAUUUUGUUGGUUUCUAGAGCUGAAGUAAUGAUUGAUAGGGAUAGUUGGGGGUGCUAGUAUUCAGUGGCCAGAGGUGAAAUUCUCGGAUUCCCUGAAGACUAACUUAUGCGAAAGCAUU
rnacentral:rRNA from 1 species